AAAAAUUAGGGUGGGCAAUGCAGUCAAUUCAAUGUCAGUCACUAAUUGAUUUCUUAUAACUAUCACGCCAGAGAUGCAUUUGAUCCAUCUUCUCCAACGAUUAUGCCAUAUGUAUUUGGAUCUCUGAUCUAUCAAGGAUGGCUGAAAAUAUCAGAUAAACAGCUACAGCGAUGAGCACAAAUAAUUGACAGAGUGAAGCAAGCCAAUAUGACUGUAGCAGAGAAUCAUGAAACACCCCAUUGUUUAUGCAGCUCAUCCCCAUGUUCUAUAGACAAAUUGUUUUGCUUCCUACUUGUUAUUUUCUUGUACAAUCUGUUCAAAACCACCUGUUUCUCUUCUUUUCCAGAUUCAGUCACACAGUAUUCACACCAUUCAUAGUCUCGUGAUUUAAUUUUUAAUUUAAAAUGUUGAGUGCCUGCUUAUUUUUCAUAGAAGGUCACUUUAUUCUUCAC